AACCAUGUUGCACAUCAUUAUUAUUGUGGCACUUGCAGUUGUGGUAGUGGUAAGUGUGUUGUUUGCUGGCCACAAUGGCAGUACAACCUUUGGGGUAUUAAAAACAGGUGCCAAAUAGAUCCACAAGGAGCAAAUUGUAGAGCCCAAAAAGUUCUUGCGCAUCUUCACAAGAAAAGUGAACUUCAAGCCUCAGCAGGACCAAAUAUUAAGCGCAAUUGUGAUCACCGAUAAUAGUCAAUCGAAGGGCGGAACAGCUUUUCUACUCAAAGGAGGACCACCUGCCAGAUUUGCGAUGAUUGGUUUCCAAUCACAUCGAAAUCACGGUCUGAAUUUCACACUGGAGAUAUAUAUAUAUAUAUGCCUCUGAAUUAUGCGUUGCAUUUAAAAAUACAGAUUAAUUUCCUAGAAAAUUUAUCAAUAA